rnacentral:lncRNA from 1 species
GGAAAUGUGGCUGACCGGAGUACGGCGAAGUCCGAAGCGGAGCUUGACGAAGCCGAUGACGGGACCGGUGUGGCGCUUCAUCAUCUCCUCCUUGAUCUGAGACGGUUCCAUUUUCGACAGAUCGGCGGGCGGGAAAGAUGGCUCCUUCUUCUUGCCCCAUUCCUUCCAAGACUCGUCCUCUUCGUCAUCGUACACGUCAUCAAGGUCAUCGCUGAUGUGCACCUUGCGCUUUCCUCCAGAGAAGAAAAAAAAUAAAAAAUAAAAAUAAAAAAUAAAAAAUAAAAUUUCUUAAUUUUACUUUUUUUUUUCUUUACAAAAUUCUAAAAAUAGAAAAUCAUAAAAUACUAAAAAUAAAAUCCAAUCCUAACACAUUUUUUUAAGCUUCCUUACAAAGUAAUAAUUCAAUUUAAAAUAUUUUUAAAAUUGACAAAAUAUAAUUCCAUAAUUAUUUUAUAAUUUAAAUAAAAUAGUUUGCAACAAACAUUUAAUUCUAAAAUCCUAUUUAUAAUUGUUCAUUCAAUAUACGUAAAUUGUAUAAAAAGUAUAAUAAUAUAUUUUUGGUACCUUAUUUAAUUAGUGUUAUGUAUUUAUUUAAUUAAAUCUAUUAUCUAUUUAAAUUUCUAAUUAAGUAUACAAUGAUAACCCCUCUUAACGAAAAAAUACAUUAAAUUAAUGUAGAGAUUUAUAUUAUUUACGAAAUGUUCAAAUCCUAAUAAUUGGAUACUAUAUUUAAGCUCAAUUAACUUUAUAUAAUACACCACAAACUUGCACCUAGCUUAUGUUAAACAAAAAAAUGUUAUCUUCGUUUAAUUAAAAUUUAUAUAUAUCACAAUUAUUUUUCUAAGAAACAAUCAUAAAUUUAACCUUUAAUAUCUUUGUUUAAUUAAAACUUAUAUGUAAAGUUUAAUUAUCCUCAAACAAAAGUAAGUGUAAAAAAAGUGUUGAAUCUCUUUAUAUAAGUUAUUAAAUAAGUUUUUUAUGUUUGUGCUUGCUCUCUAUGUAUGAACCUUUUGAUUUGGUAUAUAAGUGUUCUCUUCUAUGACAUACUUCUCAUCUUUAAUCAAAAUAAUUCACAAAAACUCUUUAUUAAGAUCUACUAAUAAGACGCUCGUCUUUAUAACUAAAAAUUACUUCAAACUUACUCACCUUUAUAAUCCCACAUUGACCUAUAGGAAUUUAAGCGUGCUAACCUUAAAUUUCAAAUUCAAGAAGUUUUAAAUUAUAUAAUGUAACCAAAAUUCUAGCUGAAAUUCAUCAAAAACCAAUAAACAUGCAGAAACAGCCAAUUUCCCCAUAAAAUCAUAGCUAAAAUUGGAGCCCUGUUUUACACCAAGAUAAGAAUAGCCUUAACCAGAAACAGAAAUGUGGCUGACCGGAGUACGGCGAAGUCCGAAGCGGAGCUUGACGAAGCCGAUGACGGGACCGGUGUGGCGCUUCAUCAUCUCCUCCUUGAUCUGAGACGGUUCCAUUUUCGACAGAUCGGCGGGCGGGAAAGAUGGCUCCUUCUUCUUGUCCCAUUCCUUCCAAGACUCGUCCUCUUCGUCAUCGUACACGUCAUCAAGGUCAUCGCUGAUGUGCACCUUGCGCUUUCUUCCAUGGGCAAAUUCGUAAUUUUGCAGCACCAGAAGUAGUAGAAGAAGAAGGAGGGUGGUAGUGGAGC